AAGUCGUAACAAGGUAACCGUAGGUGAACCUGCGGUUGGAUCAUUAGUGGUUUUUUGGCAGCGCUGUUGUAGUGUAUGGUGGAGGUGUUGGGGUUUGGUUUGGGUGUGUUGUGUGUUCUGCUGUGUUUACUUGGCCUUGGUCUUGGCACAGCAGCGGACGACGGCACACUCGGACCAGACCCAACAGACCUCGCCAGAUAGACGUCUUUGCUUGCUUUGAUGAAACCAAAUCAAAAACAACUUUUGACAACGGAUCUCUUGGCUCUC
rnacentral:misc_RNA from 1 species